rnacentral:rRNA from 1 species
GAUGAACGCUGGCGGCGUGCUUAACACAUGCAAGUCGAACGGAAAGGCCAGUGCUUGCACUGGUACUCGAGUGGCGAACGGGUGAGUAACACGUGGGUGAUCUGCCCUGCACUUCGGGAUAAGCCUGGGAAACUGGGUCUAAUACCGGAUAGGACAAUGGUUUGGAUGCCGUUGUGGAAAGUUUUUUCGGUGUGGGAUGAGCUCGCGGCCUAUCAGCUUGUUGGUGGGGUAAUGGCCUACCAAGGCGUCGACGGGUAGCCGGCCUGAGAGGGUGUACGGCCACAUUGGGACUGAGAUACGGCCCAGACUCCUACGGGAGGCAGCAGUGGGGAAUAUUGCACAAUGGGCGCAAGCCUGAUGCAGCGACGCCGCGUGGGGGAUGACGGCCUUCGGGUUGUAAACUCCUUUCGCUGGGGACGAAGCGUAUUUGUGACGGUACCUGGAGAAGAAGCACCGGCUAACUACGUG